GCCUAACACAUGCAAGUCGAACGAAGUAGCAAUACUUAGUGGCAGACGGGUGAGUAACAUGUGGGUAUCUGCCCUUUGGCCUGGAAUAACACGAGGAAACUUGUGCUAAUACCGGAUAAGUCUUUACGGAGAAAGCUUUAUGCACCAUUGGAUGAGCCCGCACUUGAUUAGUUAGUUGGUAGGGUAAUGGCCUACCAAGACUGUGAUCAAUAGCUGAUUUGAGAGGAUGAUCAGCCACAUUGGGACUGAGACACGGCCCAAACUCCUACGGGAGGCAGCAGUGGGGAAUCUUGCACAAUGGAGGAAACUCUGAUGCAGCGAUGCCGCGUGAGUGAAGAAGGCCCUUGGGUUGUAAAGCUCUUUCGUCGGGGAAGAAAAUGACUGUACCCGAAUAAGAAGGUCCGGCUAACUUCGUGCCAGCAGUCGCGGUAAUACGAAGGGACCUAGCGUAGUUCGGAAUUACUGGGCUUAAAGAGUUCGUAGGUGGUUGAAAAAGUUGGUGGUGAAAUCCCAGAGCUUAACUCUGGAACUGCCAUCAAAACUUUUCAGCUAGAGUAUGAUAGAGGAAAGCAGAAUUUCUAGUGUAGAGGUGAAAUUCGUAGAUAUUAGAAAGAAUACCAAUUGCGAAGGCAGCUUUCUGGAUCAUUACUGACACUGAGGAACGAAAGCAUGGGUAGCGAAGAGGAUUAGAUACCCUCGUAGUCCAUGCCGUAAACGAUGUGUGUUAGACGUUGGAAAUUUAUUUUCAGUGUCGCAGCGAAAGCGAUAAACACACCGCCUGGGGAGUACGACCGCAAGGUUA
rnacentral:rRNA from 1 species